GCCCGGGUGACGCAAUUGGUUAGCGUGUCAGACUUUUACACAAGAGUGAAAUCUGAAAGUUGCGAGUUCGAGUCUCGCCUCGGGCG